GACGAACGCUGGCGGCGUGCCUAACACAUGCAAGUCGAGCGGGGAUUUAAGUGGAAGUUCUUCGGAAUGGAGAUUUAAAUUCUAGCGGCGGACGGGUGAGUAACGCGUGAACAAUCUGUCCCGGACAGGGGGAUAACACUUGGAAACAGGUGCUAAUACCGCAUAAGACCACGGCCUCGCAUGGGGCUGAGGUAAAAGGAGCAAUCCGGUUCGGGGUGAGUUCGCGUCCGAUUAGCUAGUUGGUGAGGUAACGGCCCACCAAGGCGACGAUCGGUAGCCGGCCUGAGAGGGGGAACGGCCACAUUGGAACUGAGAGACGGUCCAAACGCCUACGGGAGGAGGCAGUGGGGAAUAUUGGGCAAUGGGCGAAAGCCUGACCCAGCAACGCCGCGUGAGGGAGGAAGGUUUUCGGAGUGUAAACCUCUGUCCUAUGGGACGAAGGAAGUGACGGUACCAUAGGAGGAAGCCCCGGCUAACUACGUG
rnacentral:rRNA from 1 species